rnacentral:rRNA from 1 species
AACGAACGCUGGCGGCGUGCCUAACACAUGCAAGUCGAACGAGAGAGGGGCUUCGGCUCCGAGUAAAGUGGCGCACGGGUGAGUAACACGUAGGUAACCUGCCUCUAAGAUUGGGAUAACCUGUCGAAAGACGAGCUAAUACCGAAUAAGACCACGGCUUCCUCGGAAGCAGGGGUCAAAGGUAGCCUCUACUUGUAAGCUAUCACUUGGAGAUGGGCCUGCGUACCAUUAGCUAGUUGGUGGGGUAACGGCCUACCAAGGCAAAGAUGGUUAGCUGGUCUGAGAGGAUGAUCAGCCACACUGGAACUGAGACACGGUCCAGACUCCUACGGGAGGCAGCAGUGGGGAAUUUUUCGCAAUGGGCGCAAGCCUGACGAAGCAACGCCGCGUGUAGGAUGAAGGCCCUAGCGGUCGUAAACUACUGUCUAGCGGGACGAAAGUAUUCGGAGUGAAUAAUUCCGGAUAUUGACUGUACCGCUGGAGGAAGC